rnacentral:tRNA from 1 species
GGCGCAUUCGUCUAGGGGUUAGGACGCCGGCCUCUCACGCCGGUAACAGGGGUUCAAUUCCCCUAUGCGCUACGA